rnacentral:rRNA from 1 species
UGGGGAAUUUUGCACAAUGGGGGAAACCCUGAUGCAGCGACGCCGCGUGAUUUAGAAGGCCUUCGGGUUGUAAAAAUCUUUUCUAUGGGAAGAAAAUGACAGUACCAUAGGAAUAAGGACCGGCUAAUUACGUGCCAGCAGCCGCGGUAAUACGUAAGGUCCGAGCGUUGUCCGGAAUCGUUGGGCGUAAAGGGUACGUAGGCGGGUAAGCAAGUUAGAAGUGAAAUCCUAUAGCUCAACUAUAGUAAGCUUUUAAAACUGCUCAUCUUGAGGUAUGGAAGGGAAAGUGGAAUUCCUAGUGUAGCGGUGAAAUGCGCAGAUAUUAGGAGGAAUACCGGUGGCGAAGGCGACUUUCUGGCCAUAACCUGACGCUGAGGUACGAAAGCGUGGGUAGCAAACAGG